GGAGAGAAGGGAGUUUCCCAACCCUCUUCCACUACUGCAGGUUGAGCCUCCGCUACAGCAGGCUGAUCCCGAGCCACCCCGGCACGAGCCUGCUCCUCCACAGUACCACCCGGCACCACUGCCGCAGUACAACACGGUGCCCCAGCCACGGUACUACACGGCACCGCCACAACACGACCCAGUGCCCCCAGCACAUCAGCAGGUGCCACCACAGGACCCCCCAGUCUAUCCCCAGCCGGGUCCAGUCCCUCCUCCAUGGGACUCCGCUCCUUCCUUGAUCGACCCGGGCUACAUAGAGAGGUACAGGAGACUGAACCCCUCCACCUUUGCAGGGGGAUCCUUUUUUGAAGAGGCCCAGUACUGGCUGGCGAAGACUGAGAGAGCUUUCAGGAUCUUGGGAGUAGUUCCUGAGCAGAGAGCUACCCUUGCUUCCUUCAUGCUGGUAGGGGAAGCAGGAUGUUGGUGGGAGCUCAAGUAGGCCACCCUACCUACACCAGUCACUUGGGAGCAGUUUCUAGCGGCCUUCCAUGCGAAGUAUUUCCCUGAGCACAUCCGAGACCUAAAGGAAACGGAGUUUGUUCAACUAGUUCAAGGAAACAUGACAGUAUCUGAAUAUGCUAGUAAGUUCCUAGAGCUCGGCCGAUACUCCCCGGAGACAUUGAUGGAUGAGGGCCGAAAGGCCAGGAGAUUCCAGUCAGGUCUCCGCUCAGAGAUCAAGCAACACUUGGUAGUACUGGAGCUCAAGACAUAUUCAACAGUCCUAGCAAAGGCACAGAUCGUGGAAAGAAGCUUCAGCACCCGUCCUCAACCAGGAGGGAGUUCCUGACCCUCAGCUCCGUUCCGCAGGCCAGCACCUACGGCGCCUGCCCAACCAAACAAGAGGCUCAGACCAGUUAUCCAGGCCCCUCCUCAGGCUUCAGGGGCAGCACGUGGGAAAAUCUAUCAACACUGCGGCAGAGAUCACGGGGACCGACCCUGCUACCGCCUUAACAACACUUGUCGCAUUUGUGGCAGUGUCCAGCAUUAUGCCAGAGAAUGCCCGAGGAACCAGAAUCAAGGGAGGCCUCCUAUCCAGGGCAGAGCUUACAACCUUACCCAGCAGGAUGCUGACGCCGACCCGGAUAUGGUACAGGGUAUGUAUACUAUCUGUGACCAUAUUGCUCAUAUUUUAUUUGACACUGGUGCAUCGCACUCUUUUGUUUCACAUGCUUUUGCUUCCAAAAUUAAUGUAUCACCUGAUAAACUUGAAUCAUUGUUAUUUGUGUCUACUGCCGGGAGUGAAACACUACUAGGGAAAGCUAUUUAUAGGGCUUGUGCCGUAGAGAUAGCAAAUAGAAAACUGAGUGUAAACCUGAUAGGGUUAGACAUGGGGGAUUUUGAUGUAAUCUUAGGAAUGAAUUGGCUAGCGGCGUAUCACGCCACCAUAGAUUGCUUCAACAAGAAAGUUGUAUUUAAUCCUCCUAACGAGGAGCCAUUUACAAAUUAAUAAAAUUAUUCAGUACGUAUUCCUUGAUGGCAAGUUUUCUUAACUUCUAGUGCCUUAAUCUUGUUGUUUUCUCUGACUAGGCAAGCCUAAGAAGGAAAUUUGUAUUCAAGAGAUUCUUGUAGUCCGAGACUUCCCAGAUGUGUUUUUGGACGAACUGCCCAGUCUGCCAGUGGACAGAGAAGUCGAGUUCACUAUAGACCUACAGCCAGGUACCCAGCCCAUUUCGGUUGCUCCUUACCGCAUGAGCUGCAUUGAGAUGGAAAAGCUGAGGAAACAGAUCACUGAAUUGCAAGACAGUGGUUUUAUUAGACACAGUGUGUCCCCUUGGGGUGCUGGAGUCACUUUUGCAAGGAAGGGAGAUGGAACGUUGAGACUAUGCAUUGAUUACAGAGGAUUGAACAAGGUCACGAUCAAAAACAAGUAUCCCUUUCCCCGGAUUGAUGACCUCUUUGAUCAGCUGCAGGGUGCACAAGUCUUCUCUAAAAUAGACCUACGAUCAGGUUACCACCAGAUGAAGAUAAGAACAGAAGACAUCCCCAAGGACGGCCUUCCGAACCAGGUACGGACACUAUGAGUUCCUGGUCAUGUCAUUCGUGCUAACCAAUGCCCUGGCAAUCUUUAUGGAUCUGAUGAACAGGGUCUUCAGAGAGUUCUUGGAUUAAUUUUUCAUCGUGUUCAUCGAUGAUAUCUUAGUCUACUCAAAAAGUAAAGAAGAACAUGCUCACCAUCUGGCCCAAGUUUUGCAGGUCCUUAGAAACAAGAGGUUAUAUGCGAAGUUGAGUAAGUGUGGAUUCUGGCUUGAGCAGACUGCCUUCUUAGGACACAUCAUAUCGAAGGAAGGGGUGUCAGUGAAUCCUGAAAAGGUUGAAAUGGUACUUGGUUGGGAGAAGCUGACAUCAGUUAAGGAAAUUCGUAGCUUCCUGGGAAUGGCAGGUUAUUACCGCAGGUUUGUUGAAGGAUUCUCCAAUCUAGCAGCUCCUCUAACCCGAAUCACAAAGAAGAAUGCCAAGUUUGAGUGGAAUGAAGACUGCGAAAGAAAUUUUUCAGAAUUAAAGAAAUGGCUGACCACUGCACCCGUGCUGGCUUUACUGAGUGGAUCGGGAGGAUAUACAGUUUAUAGUGAUGCCUCUUAUCUGGGCCUGGGUUGUGUCCUGAUGCAGCAUGGAAAGGUUAUAGCAUACGGGUCUAGACAGUUAAAGAAUCAUGAGAAGAAUUAUCCCACCCAUGACUUGGAACUUGCCACAAUCAUUCAUGCCUUGAAAACCUGGCGCCAUUAUUUGUACGAAGAGACCUUUCAGAUCUAUACCGAUCACAAGAGUUUGAAACACAUAUUCACUCAAAAGGAUCUCAACAUGCGUUAGAGAAGGUGGAUGGAACUCCUUAAGGACUAUGAUUGUGACAUCUUAUACCAUCCGGGUAAGGGCAACGUGGUAGCAGAUGCCCUCAGCAGGAAAAGUGCAAGUAUCUUAGCCCAUUUGAUGGUUUCAGACUGCAGACCAAUUGGGGCCACACAAUAGGUUCAAAUUCAUGAUCUGAAGAGAGUCACAUGUUUGGGCCGCCUGACAGUCCGGCCCAAGUUAAUUCAGAGAAUAAGGGAAGCCCAGAUAGUUGACCCUACCCUGGUAGCCCGCAAGAAGGAUGCAGAACAGGGAGGGAGCUCAGAAUUUCGAAUAUCUACCGAUGGACUACUUUGUUUCCCAAGACAGGGUGUGUGUCCCAGAUGACAGUGAGUUAAAAAGGGACAUCAUGACGAAGUCCCAUAGCUCGAAGUUUGCCAUGCAUCCAGGAAGCACCAAAAUGUACCAAAGCAUGCGACCCCGGUUUUGGUGGCAUGGGAUGAAGAGAGACAUAGCCGACUUUGUAUCUAAAUGUUUGGUAUGUCAGCAGGUCAAGGCAGAGCAUCAGUGCCCAGGUGGGUUACUUCAGCCUUUAUCGAUCCCGUAGUGGAAGUGGGAACAUAUCACCAUGGACUUCGUAUCGGGGCUACCCAAGGCAAGUUCAGGACACGAUGCCAUAUGGGUAAUCGUUGACUGACUUACCAAGUCUUCCCACUUCCUAGCCAUCAGGAUGACCGAUUCAUUGGACAAGUUGGCAAUGAUGUAUAUCCGGGAGAUAGUCAGAUUGCAUGGAGUUCCAGUGACAGUAGUGUCCGAUAGGGAUCCCAAGUUCACUUCUCAGUUUUGGAGCAGCUUCCAGCAAGCUAUGGGAACAAAGCUAUCUCUUAGUACUGCUUUCCAUCCCCAGACUGAUGGACAAUCAGAGAGGACAAUUCGUACGCUUGAGGAUAUGCUCCGAGCUUGUGUCCUUGACUCCGGGGGCCAUUGGGACGACCAUCUGCCCCUGAUAGAGUUUGCCUACAACAACAGCUACCAAGCAAGCAUCGACAUGGCUCCAUAUGAGGCGUUAUAUGGGCGCUCGUGCAGAUCACCGAUUUGCUGGGAGGAAGUGGGCGAUAGAAGAUUGUUCGGCCCGGAGUUGGUAGAGGAGACCACGUCCAAGAUAGUUAAAAUAAAGAAUAACAUUCAGACAGCUCAAAGUAGGCAGAAGAGUUAUGCAGAUACCCGGAGGAGAGACCUAGCGUUUGAGAAAGGCGACCGGGCGUUUCUUAAGGUCACUCCUUUCAAGGAAAUUAGUAGGUUCGGCAGGACGGGAAAAUUAAACCCCCGGUAUAUUGGACCCUUUGAAAUCUUAGACAGGAUUGGUACUGCUAUCUACAGACUAGCACUGCCUCCAGAGCUCUCCAGAGUCCACAACGUGUUCCACGUAUCCAUGCUACGUAAGUACAACCCGGACCCUUCUCAUGUCUUGGCUCAUGAACCGCUUCCACUCCAAGAGGACUUGUCUUAUGAAGAAGUACCAGUCGGUAUCACGGACCAAAAGAGUAGAAUACUCCGCAACCGAGAAAUACCAUUUGUAAAGGUCGUGUGGCAGAACCACACGCCCAGGGAGGCUACUUGGGAGCUGGAAUCAGAAUUUAGAGCCCAGUAUCCCCAUUUGUUCGACCAAAAGUAAGAGGCAAAUUUGGGGGGUAAAAAUUUCUUCAAGGGGGGGAGAGUUGUAACACCCGAAGUGUAUUAUUAUUAUUAUUUUUUUUUCAAUUUAUUUUAUUUAUUUUAUUUUGUAAUUAUUGGAAUUUUAUUUGAUUUUUUAUUUAAUUUAAUUUAAUUUGAUUUAAUUUAAUGAAAAUAAAAAUAAUAAUAAUGAUAAAAUUGGGUAAAAAUAUUAUUUGGAUUUAAUUAAAAUUUAUUUUGGGAAAAAGGGGUGAAAAUUUGAAUUAUGGGGGUGUUUUUGAAAAGAAAAUCGGAAACCAGAGGUCAAAACACAAUUUAGAAAAGUUGUGCCAUGUCGCACCACGUCAGCAGCCCGGUCAGCAACCCCAGCCAACCAGGACGCGCCGCGUGGCAAGGAAACGCUGACCAGGGGACGGGCCACAUGGGCGAUCCGCGUGCGCGCGAUCGGACGGCCUAGAUCCGUUCCCGUGCGCACGGACGGCCCAGAUCAAACGUGCGCACAGACGGCCCAGAUUCACGCGCACGGACGGCCCAAAUUCAAUCAGGCACGCACAGCCCAGAUUGCUUCCCGAUGGACGGUUGAGAUUAAAAGACAAACGGGUAUAAAUACCCCCACCCACACUGACUAAAGAAACCCUAGCCGCCAGUGCUCGCCGAAGAAGAAGAACCAGACGUCGGAGGAGCCGGUCGCCGCCACCCGCCGCCGCACCGGGGAAGUUUUCGACCGCCGAUCGAGGUAAAUUUUCUCCUCCUUGCUCGUUUUUCGACGCUGAGUCCCUAUGGCCAAACCGGAGCCAAACCACCGGCCAAACGGCCGAAAAACCUAGCCAAAACCCAGCGGCGCCGCCGCGUCCCUCCUCGGUUUUUGCCUCCGAUGAGGCCCUUCCCAGCCUCCGUUUGAUGCAAAUUUUAUACCACUGUGAUCACUGUUCUUUUCUCUACAGGUUGAUCGGAGCCAAAAAUUAAAACGCGACUCACGCCGGAGGAACAGCCGCACCCGAGAGCACUGCUACCGGUAAGUUUUGGUUUUUCGUGAUUUUUCGGCCCACCGAGGGCCCUAGGGUUGUUCUAUUGCAGGGACCGAUGUAAGCGUGGCCGAAAACGGCCAACCCGAGGAGAAUCGCCGCUGCUUGCGGCGUCGUCGCCGGAGCACGGCGAAGCUGCCGUGCCACAAUUGCGAUAUUGGCCGAAAGGGGCCCUAGGUCUAAUUUGGGAUUUUUUGGGACACGUGCAAGUACCAGUAGUGCGUUUCAGUUUCCUGGAAAAAAUUCAGGGAAAAUUAGGAACAGCUUGUAGGUGCACUGUAGAGCCGUAUUCAGGCCCCGAAACAAGUAAGGACCCCUCACCCUAUUUUCUAUCACGGUAUUAAAGUUCAAUAAAUGAUAAAACGGUAUUUCAUGAAUCAAUAGAUGUGUGAAAUUGUUUAAGGUCGCUAAUGGAGCCCGAGUCUUGUGUAUUUGUCGGUCAGUUGUUGUUUGUUCUAUUUUACAGUUUUAAAUGCAGUAUGAUCUCUGAUGUUUUCAUUUCAUAGUUUUGUGUGCAUAUAUCACUGUUUUAUUGAUUAUGGGUUGAAUGACUGAGAACCCGAUGUUGUGUGUUGUCUUGUUUAGCAUAAACUACUGGUUUGCAUGUUUGUGUGUGAUUUGAUGAUGCUGACUGAGGAAAAAAGGAAUAAAAGGUUACGUGAAUUGAUAAAUGGAUAAUGUGGACAGCCUGACUAGAUAUCCUGGGAGAUGGUGGACAGACCAGGUCCGUAGGGAACCCUACCAGGAACGUGGUCUCUCAUACCGGACGGGGUAUGGAGACCUUCUGUGUUUUGGCACCCAUACCGGACAGGGUAUGGGGACGGCCCGUUUCACCCUCAUACCGGACGGGGUAUUGAGGUUCAUGGUUUUGGUGCCCAUACCGGACGGGGUAUGGGGACGGCUCUGGAAUCAGGUUAUAAAUGUUAUGGGUUCACGGGUAGCGGGACCCCUAUGGAUCCCCAUGGAUACUAGUAGGUUGGUAAAUGAGGAAAAUAUGUUGUUUAAUAAUUGAAAUGCAAAGGCGUGGUAAGUGUUAUGUUAUAAAGUCUAUAUGACUUCAUGAUGAUGAUAAUGUUAUUGCUUUCAUAUGUUAUUUUCAUGAAUCUCACUGAGGUAAGUGGAUAGUAAAGGUUUUUGUGUUAAUAAAUGAGUUUGUUAUAAAUUAUGCUCCAUUGGUCAUUUUUGUUUUCUACCCACCUUUACUUCCGUGGCGAUGAGAUAGUGUGAUGUCUUUACUGGGCUGGUGUAGUUCAUUCCUUAUUUAACCAUUUCAGAUCAGGAAGACAUUGUUCCCGAGCCCGUUCUGCAGGAAGACGGCGAAGGGGACGCCUAAAGACUCCGUAGUUAUAUUUAUAGUUCUUAUUUUCGAGUAUCUCUUUUAGUUAGUUUGUUCUUUUAUAUUUUGAGCACGUUUUUGGUUUUUGUGUAAGGGAUGUUAAUCAAAAUUUUUAUUACGCUUCUGCAUUUGAUAUUUUUAAUACACAUAUUUCAUUCUAAAUUUCCAGGGCCGUUACAGUAGAUAUCUGAUAGGACCACUAUAGUUGGUACAGUCGUGGUCAUAAAUCGUACCAUGGUUUAGCCAAUCAGAAUUAUUCCUGAGAAAAUUGUCGUUAUCUGUAUCUGAUCUGGUCAUUCCACAUGGGUAGUUGAAAAUUUGUAUCUGCCUUCAGAGAUGGAAGUUGUAACGACUUCGCGAAGCAUGACAUAAAAAUCUGAGCAUUUCAUGAUUUAUUUUAUUUUUUCUAUUAUCUAGCAUGAUGUAUGUUUGUUUGAUUAUAUUAACAUACUAUUUUUCUAAUAAAUAAAUUAUUUUCAUAAUGUAAGAUAGGUCUACUUAAUAGCCAAAUGAUAAGUAUUUAUAUUAGAAUAAUUCACUUUUAAAACCUUACGAUGUUAUUUAAAUAUUAUUUUCUUUACUGACCAUAUGGAACUCACUCUUUCCAUGCGCUCUCCAAAUGAGGAAGAAAAUGAUGAACCACAUACUAACCUACCCCUAGAAGUCUAUGAGGAUCCCGUGGAUCCACAAAACUUGAGUGCAUGAUUGUUCCCACACUCUAAUGAGUCUAAUAGCAUAGUGAAAGAAGUGGCAUUCUUUUGUGUUUUGAUUUUGUAAUUUAUAGCAACUUCUGGCCUCAGUUAUAUGUAUGUAAUUGGAACCAUAUAUAUUUGUAGGAGAUUUAUAUUAAUUAGUUCCGCUGCAUAAACUUUUAUUAUGCACUCAUUCUUCUAUUUUUAUAUCUGACACCCAUUUGCCUUGAUUAGCACUUGGGAUGUCACAUCCUGAGUGUUGUCACCUUAACCGUCCUAUCUCUCAAGAUAUUGUAGAAUUUAAGGGACUAAACUCUCCUCACUUCAACGACGGUCCCAAUUCUAUGGUCGCUGAAGUCUGGACCCAAGAAAUAGAGAAGCUCUUUAUAGUACUGGAUGUAACGAAAGAGCAGAAAGUUUCCUUGGCUACUUUCAUGUUUACUGGAGAAGCAGCUCACUGGUGGCGUGUGAAGAAGGAUUUAUUACCGACUCCUACCACCUAGGAAAUAUUUAUGGAUGCCUUCUAUGAGAAUUUCUUUCCAACUUAUAUAUGGGAUAAGAAGGAAGAGGAAUUUAUAGAACUCCGACAAGGGAACCUGACAGUUACCCAGUAUACAGCUAAGUUUAUUCAGUUGUCAAGAUUUGCUCCACUGUUGGUGCCAACUAAAGUCCGAAAGCCCCAAAAGUUCUUUAAGGGUCUUAGCCCAAAUAUUUUUUAUCGAGUCGCCAUGUCUAAUCCCACUUUCUAUGGUGAGGUGCUAGAGAAUGCACAGUUGGCUGAACACCUUAUCUCAGCCAGUAACCAGCACAUCAACCACUUUUGUAGUCAGCAGCAUUAGCAGCAGAAGAGAAGAUUCCUUGACUUUGGCCUUUACCACCCAAAUAAGACACCUCGUGUUGUCCCAGCCCCUACCGCUUUACCCCCUCUUACCAGAGAUCUUAUUCAAACUUCUCCUACUUGUCGACAUUGUGGUCACUACCAUGGUGACAGCCCUGUUGACGUCUAAACCACUCCUAUUUCAAGUGUAGGAGUACACAACAUUUGGUGAAGGAUUGCCCUUAGAGGGCCAAGGACCUCGCUAGACCUGUUGCCCAGGGAUGCGUUUACCACAUGGAUGAGCCUGAUGUUCCCACCACUCCUGCUAUCAUUCAGGGUAUGUUUUUUGUUCAUAAUACUACCAUACAUGGUUUGAUUGAUAUAAGUGCCACUCACUCUUUCGUAUCUUAUAAUUUUGCUUGUAAAUUAGACCUUAGGCUGGAACCCCUAGGAAAUAUUUUAGUUGUAGGAACACUCUGUAAGGGGAUUAUUAAAAGAUUUUUAUUUAUAUAAAAGUUGUGAAGUAAAUACUUAAGAGAAAGAACUCACUGUAGAUCUAAUACUACUAGACUUUUGAGGGUUUGAUGUAAUCCUAUAUAUGGACUGGUUAGGAAAAUAUGAGGUAAUUAUUGAUUGUGAGACUAAAAUUGUAAAACUACGUUCACCUAGGCAGUAAACUUGUUUUGUUUUGUAAAAGUUAUAAAUAGAGAGUGUUUUCUUUUGAAAAUUUUUGUUGCUUUGCUCACCUUAGGUUGGACAGGAACAUGGAUUGUAACUCGACAAUUUCUUCGAUCCCCGUUACAUGUAAUUUCCUAGAUGUCUUUCUGGAGGAGCUAUUAGGCCUACCUCCCAAAUGGGAGAUAUAGUUUUUGGUUUACCUAAUUCCAAGUACCCAAUCAAUUUCAAAACCCCUAUAUCGCAUGAGUCAUGCAAAAGUUAUUGAAUUAAAACACAAGCUUUUCAAAACUAUAGGGACUAAAGUUCAUCUGCGGCAAUCAUUUCCCUUGGGGUGUGCUUGCCUUGUUCACCAAAAAGAAGGAUGGAUCCCUCCACAUGUGUAUUAACUACUAUGAACUCAAUUAGGUGACCAUAAAGAGUAAGUACCAUCUGCCCGCAUACAUGAUUUGUUCGACCAGUUGCAAGGUGCUUCUUUGUUUUUAAAGAUUGAUCUCCAAUCUAGCUACCAUCAGUUAAGAGUAAAGGAAAAGGACAUUCUUAAAAUGGUCUUUUGCUGUAGGUAUGGCCAAUUUGAGUUUAGAGUUAUGCCCUUUCGACUGAAAAAUGCCCCCGCAACAUUUAUGGACUUGAUGAACAGAGUUUUUCGCCAUGCACUAGAUCAAUGCAUCAUCAUCUUCAUUAGUGACAUCCUAGUGUACUCAAAAAGCUUAGAGGAGCAUGUCGAUCACCUGACCCAUGUCAUGAUCACUCUUCGUUAGCACCACCUUUACGCCAAGUUUAGUAAGUGUUCCCUUUGGUUGAACUGGGUAUCUUUUCUUGGCCAUGAGAUUUCUGGCAAUGGGGUUUCUAUUGAUCCCUCUAAAGUCAAGGCUAUUGUGACUUGGAACUAGCCAAACAAUGUUGCUGAGAUCCAUUACUCCCUUGGUCUGGCCAGCUAUUACUGAUGCUUUAUUAAAGAUUUUCUAAGAUUGCUGCCCCUUUGACUCUCCUUAUUAAGAAAUGAGUAGUCUUCCAUUGGGAUGAAGAAUGUGAAGAAUCUUUUAUGAAAUGGAAGUGUUGACUCUGCUCCAGUGUUCAUCCUCCCUGACAACACAAGAAGUGUUCAGGUAUUCUGUGAUGCUUCCCAUGCUGGUUUGGAUUUUGUCCUUAUGCAACAUGAACGAGUAGUUGCAUAGGGUUUCAGACAGCUCAAAAUCCACAAGCACAACCACACUCAUGACCUUGAGUUGGCAGCCAUUGUGUAUGCCUUGAAGGCUAUUGGACUGUGCGCAUGGUAGCCGUGCCUCCUCCUUGGCCAACUGACAUGAAUGAUGCAAUGAUAGUGUCAUCAUUUUCUCUCUCCUCACAGAUUUAUGACACUUGUCCUAAAUAUGACAAUUAUAUUUUUCUAUAAAUAAAGACCUUCUCCACCCUUCUUCCUUACCCAUUUUCACCCUCAAGACCAAAAUUCUAGAGAGAAAAAGUUAUAGAGAGUAAGAAGAAAAGGGAGAAGUAAAAGUGGACUCGCUUAUAAUGAGUUGUUGGUAAUCAGUAAGGGAUUCGGUAUUUUCUUGCAUAUUUUAAGAGGCAUUUCUAGAAAAAUAUUGAAGUAAAUAUUAAUUUUAUUGCAUAGUUUGUGGCAUGAUUUUAAGGGUGUGAUUAGUUUUUACUUAUAACGUUGUUUUAAAUACAUACAUUGUGUAAAGGCUUCAUUGUUAUUUCAGGAACAAGAAUUGAAAUAUAAUUGAAAUAAGAAUGAAUUAUGUGAAAUUAUUGACAUGGCAUGAAAACAUGAAUGUGUACAUGAAACAUAAAAUAAUUCGUUAUACUAUUUUAUCUACUUCUAUUGUCCCCACCAUGUCUAGAAAGACAUGAGAUGACCACUCCCUCUGGAUGAUGCCAUGAAAGCACGUAGGAGAUCUUAGGACCACUGUGGCAAAGUAUGGCUAUGGUCAUUGUCUUUAGGACCACAGUGGUUGUCAUGGUCGGGGUCAUAAAUCGUGUUAUUGUGUGGUGAGCUACAAAUCAGCUAUGGUGUAGUGAGUUACAAAUUUGUUGUGGUCACCGUAAUUCUAUUUACUAAUUUAUAAACACUUGCACUUAUACUUUUUAAUAAUUGUACAUACUUAUCACUUCAAUAAAUUAUCUUCCUUUCUGUUAUGUAGUUCCAUGUUCAUAACAAGUCAUUCCCAUACUCAUAAAUAAUUAUCAUCAUAAUAGAUUCCUAUUGAGAUGUCAUGCAAAUCAAUCAGACUUAAUCAUUUAUCAUAUGCCAUUCCAUUCUAGAAUUAGAUUUUUAUGUACUUUUAAAUUUCAUCAUGCGAUGCUCUUUUUACUAGCAUCAUCAAUGUUCCUUAGGGAUCUCCUCUACAUGUGGAUACUCGAAAUAUUUUCAUGACAAACCAUCAGUCAUCUUCAUACCUCAACCUAUAUGAUUGCUAUAAACAUUAGCCAUUCUCACCCUUUUACUUAGGAAAGUGCCAUAAAUAUCGACCGUCCUCACCCCUCAACCUAGGUGAGCGCCAUAAGUAUUGGUCAUCUUUAUACCUCAACCUAUAUGGGCACCAUAAACAUUGGUUGUCCUCAUCCCUCAACCUAGGUGAAGCACCAUAAAUAUUAGUUGUAUCCAAAUUAGGGUUCCCUACACAGAUUUUUAAUUGCUUUGUUGUAUACUUUCAUCACUAUUAUGGAUGAUCAAUCAGUUACCAUACAUUAUGUAUAGGUACACAUACUUAUCACUAGUUCUCCAUGCACCUGAACAUGGAAUAGUAUACAUGAGUACCUUGAAACACUGCCACCCCUCAAACAUGGAAUAGUCAGGGCACGCAGACCACAUUAAUUCCCCAUGCAACUGAACAUGAAAUGACAUUUAUGGGUGCACACUUAUCACUUUGUCAAUACACUCGAAUAUGGAACGACAUGUAUAGGCACACUGAAGCCUAACAUAAUACAGGUGCUUUCGAAAUAACUCAUUUCUAUAAUGAGUGAUGCAAACAUACCAAAAUCAUAUUUUUAAAACAAAAGAUGAAGUAACACUCAUAUUGAAGUACAACGUUAACAACUACUUCACAUACGAAAGUACAAAUAAAAUAUUUUUCAAAAAUAUCUAAUUCAUAAUAUCACAACAUCUACUUGCACAAUUUUGUUCUGCUAAAAAUAUGUAAAAUAUUUUAAAGUUAUGUAGCUUAAUGAAUCUAUAAUACCCACUUACCUUAGGUGUUAAACAAUUCUAUUUCAAACCUUUUUUUCUAUCUAUUGGUUUACGAAUUCCUUUAUAAUAGUUCUAGCAUGAUUUGGGUCACUUUCUUUCUCACAUUUUAUAACCUUUUUUUGAUUAUGAGCGUUCUUCCUCUUCUCUUCCUUCUUCUUUGUUCUCACAAAUUUCGUAGAGUUUUUUCCUAGAUUUUUAUCUAAAAAAUUCAUAAUAGUCUCAAUAAAAUCACACGUUUCACAUUUUUCUUCUUCUAUCACCUCUAUGCUUUUCACCCUUUCUCUACCAUCCACAAUGUCUUUUCCUUAAUUCCCCAAUCCCCUAUUUAUAAAAGUGGAGAGUCAUGAAAGAUAGGUUGCCACCCUUCCACCAUGUCACUUCAUCUAAAAGUUAUCACCUUUCAUUAUGCCACUUCAUCUAAAAGUUGUCACUUUUUAUUAUGCCAUUUUAUCUAAAAGGUUCCUCCUUUUUUCAUGUCUUUUCAUGCUUAUUCUAAAUUCUUCUGCACUCUUCCAUUUGCUUCCUCAUCUUUAUCCAUCAUUUUCUCAUUUGACUCCAAAUUUGAGUUGAAAUAGAGCCCAUUAAACUCCUUUAGGCCUACCUAAACCCAUAAGGUCCAAAUAGCAAACCAUUAUAAAACUAUCUACAUGUCUCUUAGUUUUUCUUUCCGUUUGACUCUAGACUAUGUCAUUAACCAUAUUACAUAUCUCUAAAUACAUAUAAAUGCUAAAUAAAAUAUAUUAAACGUAAAAAAUUAACUCGGGGUAUUUUCGAGUUAUCACAAGUCAUUCUCAUACCUCAACCUAUAUGGGCACCAUAAACACAAUUGCUCUCACUCCUCAAUCUAGGUAAGAGUCAUAAAUAUUUUUUCGUAUCCAUAGUAGGGUUCACCGCACAUAAUCAUCACAUUUAUCUACCAACUCAUAUACAAAUGUAGCCGACCUUACCCUAUUGAAUGUAUUUUGGAUAGAUACAUACUUGUCUAGAUAUAUAAGAUCUUAAAUACAAAAAUAUAAGAUUAAACACAACUCAAAUUUUCUAUUGUUAUUGUUGUGUUGGGUCCACAAUUAAUCAUAUAUAUGAUAUGGAUUCUUAGGAUUGGUGUAUUCUUUUCUAUCCUGAGUUUCGACUCAUGAGUCGAUCCAAGUAUCAUAACUUCUUCUACCUAUCUUGUAUGUUGUCCUUUUCAUUCCGCGUUGAAAUAAAAACUUAUAAAUGGACUUAUUCAUCUUUCUAAAUGAAAUAGAUGUAUAAUAAUCCACUUUUUUUAUUAUUUAUUAUUAUUAUUAUUCUAUUUUGUCUUCUAAUUUGAAUUAAUAAAGAAAGAAUUUAUUCCAUUACAAAUUCGCGAAAGAUUUAUAAGAAUCUGAUCCAACAACAGAAUUUUUAUUAAUAAGUAUGGAAUUGUAAGAAGAUGUAAGACUCUAUAUCUAUAUUUUCAUUUUCUAUAUUUCUCUAUUUGAAUUAUAUAUACAUACAUAAAAGAGGAAGAUGAAAUUCUUUUAUUUGCCUCGACUAAUUAAUUACAAUUGCACGGAAGGAAGAAUUUGCUUUUGAUCUUGUUGAUAGGGAUUUACUGAUUCGUAAGAAGUAAUAUCGGUAAACAAAAAAUAAAUAAUUAUUUGCAUGAUUCUUUAUACAAUUCAAUCUUAUGUCACCAAAGAAAAAUCCAUUCUUCGGGGUUUACUUUGAUUCUGAGAACCUAACUACUUUGCUCUAUUUGAUUGAAUUUUGAUUCAAAAAAUAAAUAAUUAUUCGCAUGAUUCUUUCUACAAUUCAAUCUUAUGUUACCAUAUACAUUAUUUAAAUACUCUGUUUACAUAUAAAGUUUACCUAUAGUUCAUACAUGUAUAAAUACGACUCAUAACAUAUAUACGUGCACACACCACAACAUACAAAUAUGUAUAUCAAGCACAUGUUCAACAUAUUAAGCAAACAACAUAAAUACUUCUAAUUUACAUCUACACCAUAUUGUUAUAUAAUCAUGUAUGCAAACCACACACCAUAUCUAUUUUCGUACAGAUUUACACAUGUAUAGUUUAAGUACAUACCUAUUCUCAUUUUAUACUGUAAACAUUAAUUUAUUUGUACCAUACUUAAAUACGAAUGGCAAGCAUACAUACAAUUUAGUAAUAUUCAUACAUUCAACAAGCACGCAUGAUAACAUUCAUACACAUGCUGAGUUUAUGGAAAACAUUUAAAGAACUUAAACAAUUUGUAAACUCUGUACAUAUUUCAUUUCAAAUAAAACAAAAUUUUAUAAAAACAUGAGAGCCUUUGAAUGAGACUAACUCAAUCCCUUAUCUACAAUCUAAUUAGAAAAUAUUUUAGAAUCCUUAUUGGUUCAGGUUUACAGCCCUCCCUACUCUAGUUACCACUCGAUUAGUUUUCUCGUUAACAAACAAAAAACACACGCAUUAAAUGAUAAAAACUUUCAAAAAUAGAUAUAACAAUAAGGAGAAUAGAUUUUUACCUUAGACACAUGAUCCUGAUCUUUGGCGUCACCACGCACCACCACACGUGCAUCACCAAGAUCACUACAUGUUGCUGUAUGUGCCACCGCCGAAAGCACCACACAUUGCCUCAUGUGCAACCGUCAAAGUGGCAUAUGUCACCUCACGCUCUAGCCAGGAAUCAACGUAGAAUUUGAUGAUUAUUUCAUAUCUAGGAUGAAUCUACUCUGAAAUUACUGCAUAUGGCUACAACUCCUCUCCUCAGGAAUACCAAUGCCCUCGAGUUCUUAUCAUCAAGCUAGUUUUCUUCUUCUGCCAUGUAUAAAGGUGAUCAUUUAGAUCUAGCUCACCCCACGUCGUGCUACACAAUCCUAUUCACUGCGUGCUCUCGAGUCGCACCUCCUUUCUCCAUGUAGAUCCAAUUGCGCCAAGGGAAAAUAUAUCACUACCAUCGUAUAUGCAUCUUUCUCACCUAUGUAUGGGCUGAUGUUUUUCAUCUUUUUCUUCUUAUGCUUUAGCUUCCAGAGGCGUGUAUGCCUUUAGUUGCUUUUUCUUAAUUUUUUUUAACUUUUAUUUUACGAAAAUGGUGUUGUUCUGGGGUUUGCCAAAAUGAUGUCAUUUUGGCCUUGUAUGAAGGAGAUGGGCUAGGUUCUAUUUUUCCUAGCUUGGGUGUUACAUUUUUCUAUUAUAAUUCAGUUAAUUUUUCAUAAAAUUUUUCUCUGUUGUGAUUUUUGUAAUAACCCAAUUUUUUAAGUAUUAUUUAAUUUAUUAAAACUAAAAAAAUAAGUUAAAAAUAGAGAGAUAAAUUAAAAAGAAUCUAAAAAAUAUUAAAAUAUAUAAAAAUAGAAAUAAAUCCGAUAAAAAUAUAAAAAUGAAUUUUAAGAUUUUAGAAAUAUAAAAUAAAUUUUUAAGGACCUAAAUAAAACGAAAUUAAAAUUUUAGGGCCUUUAUGUAAUUAAAAAGGACCAAAAUGAAUUAGAUAUUAAAAAAAUGGGGUCUAAAUUGAACUUUAAGAAGUAUUGGACAGCUCAACGAAUGAGGUGUCAAGAUGAGCCAUGUCAUUUAGCCACGCGUGCAGACAGGUGGUAGGGUCGAGGGAUGAAUGGCGCAAAUUUUGCUUUACAAAUCUGACGGUUCCCUAAAACUCAUAUACGAGCUUCAUUUUUCAGCUCUUUAAGAGGAAAGGAGAACCCUAGUCGCAAGGGGAGCCCAAGUGACUUUGGGGUCGAGAGAGGAAAGAGAGAUAUGGGCAAAGGAGAGAAGGGAGAGAGAGAUGUUGGCUGCCGAUCUAUGCACGCCACGUAGUCCUGUGUACGUGGAGGGAGGAGAAGGGAGAUGCAACGGGAGGACGAACGAUAAUCGAGGAGAGUUAGUUGUGCGAAAGAAGAAAAAAAAAAGAAGAAGAAGAAGACGAAAAAAAAAGAAGAAUAAAAAGAAAAAGAAGAAGAAGGAGAAGAAGAAAAAAAAAAUGGACACCUGGAGAGGACUGACCAAUGGUCACGCCACAUGCGUUUGUGAGCCGAAGGAACCGAGAGAAGAAGGGGGUACGACAUGCGGUCAGAUAAAGAAAUCUAUGCACAGUGGCCAGGACUCGAGUGAUGCAAUCAGGGUGCUGCGGGCAGUGUGAGAAGUGUCAAGUGCGAUGUCGAGCUUGUUCUAGUUGGAGGAAGGAUGACGCGAUCUGAUUGAGCAAGAUUGUUUUCUAUUUGAAAUUUUGUAAGAGUAGUUUAUUACUCAAAAUCCCCAUAUUUGAAAUAAUAUAGUGAUUUGGAUUCUUUGGCUGAGUAGAUGAUAUGAUAUUGUGUGGAGAUUAGUUAUUUUGAGAAUGAUGACAUUAAAAAAUCUGGAAUGCAUUCUGUAUAUGACGAUGUAGUGAGAUAAGAGCUUCAUUUUUCAUAUAAGAGCUGUAGGAGAACCCUAUCCGCAAGGGGAGCUCAAACGGCGUCAGGGCCGAGAGAGGGAAGAGAGAGAUGCGACAGAGGAGAGAAGAGAGAGAGACAUGUUGGCCACCGAUUUGUGCACGCCUCCUAGACCCGUGCAUGCGAUGGAAGGCGAAGAGAGAUACAGCAAGCGGAUGAACAACAAUCGAGGAGAGUUGGCCACGCAAAAGAAGAAGAAAAAAAAAAGAGAGACAUGGGCAGAGGACUGACCGGCUACCACGCAGUGUGUAUUUGUGAGCUAGAGGAACUGAGAGAAGAAGGGGUGCAGUGCGCGGUCAGAGAAGGAAAUCUAUGUGUGGUGGCUAGGGGCCACACAACGUAAUUAGGGUGUUGUGCGCAUUGCAAGAAGUGUUAGGUAUAGUGUCGAGCUUGUUCUGGCUGGAGGAAGGGUUAUGCCUUCUGAUCCGAGUGAGCUUCUUUUGUGUU
rnacentral:lncRNA from 1 species